AUUGAACGCUGGCGGCAGGCUUAACACAUGCAAGUCGAGCGAGCGGCGGACGGGUGAGUAAUGUAUGGGAAACUGCCUGAUGGAGGGGGAUAACUACUGGAAACGGUAGCUAAUACCGCAUACCAUCGGAUGUGCCCAGUUGGGAUUAGGUAGUGGGUGGGGUAAAGGCUCACCGAGGCGACGAUCCCUAGCUGGUCUGAGAGGAUGACCAGCCACACUGGAACUGAGACACGGCCCAUACUCCGACGGGAGGCAGCAGUGGGGAAGAUUGCGCAAUGGGCGCAAGCCUGAUGCAGCCAUGCCGCGUGUGUGAAGAAGGCCUUCGGGUUGUAAAGCUCUUUCAGUGAGGAGGCGUUACUCACAGAAGAAGCACCGGCUAACUCCGUGCCAGCAGCCGCGGUAAUAC
rnacentral:rRNA from 1 species